GCACAAACUAGGGGGUGGCGACUGUUUACUAAAAACACAGGGCUCUGCGAAGUCGUAAGACGACGUAUAGGGUCUGACGCCUGCCCGGUGCUGGAAGGUUAAAGGGAGAGGUGCAAGCUUUGAACUGAAGCCCCAGUAAACGGCGGCCGUAACUAUAACGGUCCUAAGGUAGCGAAAUUCCUUGUCGGGUAAGUUCCGACCUGCACGAAUGGCGUAACGACUUCCCCGCUGUCUCAAAUGUGGACUCAGCGAAAUUGAACUGUCUGUCAAGAUGCAGACUUCCCGCGGUUAGACGGAAAGACCCCAUGCACCUUUACUCUAGCUUCGCACUGGCAUCAGGAUUGCGAUGUGCAGGAUAGGUGGUAGGCUUUGAAGCGGGGACGCUAGUCUUCGUGGAGCCAUCCUUGAGAUACCACCCUUCGCACUCUUGAUGUCUAACCGCGGUCCGUUAUCCGGAUCCGGGACCCUGCGUGGUGGGGAGUUUGACUGGGGCGGUCGCCUCCCAAAGUGUAACGGAGGCGCGCGAAGGUUGGCUCAGACCGGUCGGAAAUCGGUCGUUGAGUGCAAUGGCAUAAGCCAGCCUGACUGUAAGACUGACACGUCGAACAGAGACGAAAGUCGGCCAUAGUGAUCCGGUGGUCCCAAGUGGGAGGGCCAUCGCUCAACGGAUAAAAGGUACGCUGGGGAUAACAGGCUGAUGGUGCCCAAGAGUCCAUAUCGACGGCACCGUUUGGCACCUCGAUGUCGGCUCAUCUCAUCCUGGGGCUGGAGCAGGUCCCAAGGGUAUGGCUGUUCGCCAUUUAAAGAGGUACGUGAGCUGGGUUUAGAACGUCGUGAGACAGUUCGGUCCCUAUCUGCCGUGGGUGUAGGAGACUUGAGAAGAGUUGCCCCUAGUACGAGAGGACCGGGGUGAACGAACCACUGGUGGACCAGUUAUCGUGCCAACGGUAGUGCUGGGUAGCUAUGUUCGGACAGGAUAACCGCUGAAGGCAUCUAAGCGGGAAGCCCCCUUCAAAACAAGGUCUCCCUUGAGAGCCGUGGAAGACCACCACGUCGAUAGGCCAGAGGUGUAAGAGCGGCAACGCUUUCAGCUGACUGGUACUAAUUGCUCGAUAGGCUUGAUUUG
rnacentral:rRNA from 1 species